rnacentral:rRNA from 1 species
CACCGCGGUUAUACGAGAGGCCCAAGUUAAUACCCCCCGGCGUAAAGGGUGGUUAAGAAAAAUUUUUACUAGGGCUAAAUAUUCUCCAAGCUGUCAUACGCACCUGAGAAAAAGAGAACCUUAUACGAAAGUGGCCUUAACUUAUCUGAAUCCACGAAAGCCAGGGAA